CAGGUCUGAAAGCCCUCCCUCGCCUCGAAUUACUAUUGGACAGGCAAGCAUUGCUUUUAGCAUUUAACUUCUACCGGGGGUACACCCGGAUAUGUAGACAUAUAAAUGGGGAUCCCUACAGACAAACGCCCGACAUAUAACAAUCAUAUUUGUAACUAGAAAUACCGAACCGUUUAGGCUUCACAUUGUGUUCCUGGGUUAAAUAUGACGUUGUUUAGGCUCCGCGACUUCCGCAAAGGUCCCAUGAGCUCUACCGGAAGGGGCGUGACUUCGCCACUCUACCGUCCUCCCAUUGACUUCCAUUACAAAAUUGAAGGUUUAAAGAGUUGGUGUUUCAUUUGGAAGGUCCUAAAUUGACCGCCGGGGGCGCAUGACUAGAGUGUCCCGCCAUAACUAGCUACACCCAUUUAUCGGACACCUUGACGAAGCUUAUAAUGGACAUGGGGCUUUAGCAGAAAACACUUAACAAAAUAACGAAUGAAUUGCAAUAUGAUACAAUGAUCACAACAUAUAUGUUCCCU
ensembl:lncRNA